rnacentral:rRNA from 1 species
GCAUCGAUAAGAACGCAGCGAAAUGCGAUAAGUAAUGUGAAUUGCAGAAUUCAGUGAAUCAUCGAGUCUUUGAACGCACAUUGCGCCCUCUGGUAUUCCGGAGGGCAUGCCUGUCCGAGCGUCAUUGCUGCCCUCAAGCCCGGCUUGUGUGUUGGGCCCCGUCCCCCCCGCCGGGGGGACGGGCCCGAAAGGCAGCGGCGGCACCGCGUCCGGUCCUCGAGCGUAUGGGGCUUCGUCACCCGCUCUAGUAGGCCCGGCCGGCGCCAGCCGACCCCCAACCUUUAAUUAUCUCAAGUUGACCUCGGAUCAGGUAGGGAUACCCGCUGAACUUAAGCAUAUCAAUAAGCGGAGGA